UAAUUCUAGAGCUAAUAUUUCAUGAAAAUGCCGUGACUUCGGAAGCGGCGGAUUUAUUAGAUCAAAAUCAACCUGCCGCAAGGUGGUGAAAUUGAUGAAUCUGGAUAACUUUACUGAUCGUACGACCUCAGUGUUGACGACAUAUCUCUUGAAAAGGCUGACCUAUCAACUUUCGAUGGUAAGAUCAAAGCUUACCAUGGUUGUAACGGGUAACGGGGAAUCAGUGUUCGAUUCCGGAGAGGGAGCCUGAGAAACGGCUACCACAUCUACGGAAGGCAGCAGGCGCGUAAAUUACCCAAUACCGGCUCGGUGAGGUAGUGACAAAAAAUAACAAUAUGGGCCCUAGUGGUUUCAUAAUUGCAAUGAGAACAUUUUAAAUACUUUAUCAAGUAUCAAUUGGAGUAUAUGUGGGAUGCUCUUUAAUGGGUGUCGUACGUAACCGACAAGUUUACUUUGAAAAAAUUAGAGUGCUUAAAGCAGGCUUAUGCUUGUAUAUUGUUGCAUGGAAUAAUGAAAUAGGACUUCGGUUUUAUUUUGUUGGUUUUCUAAACUGAAGUAAUGAUUAAAAGAGACUGCCGGGGGCAUAUGUAUGCUGGUGUGAGAGGUGAAAUUCUAAGAUCAUCAGCAGACAAACUACUGCGAAAGCAUUUGCCAAGAAUGUUUUCAUUAAUCAAGAACGAAAGUCAGAGGAUCGAAGACGAUCAGAUACCGUCCUAGUUCUGACCAUAAACUAUGCCAACUGACAGUUAGUGAAGGUAGUUUUCACGUCCUCACUAGAAGUCACCGGGAAACCUAAGUCUAUGGGUUCCGGGGGAAGUAUGGUUGCAAAGCUGAAACUUAAAGGAAUUGACGGAAGGGCACCACCAGGAGUGGAGCCUGCGGCUUAAUUUGACUCAACACGGGAAAUCUCACCCGGUCCGGACACUGUGAGGAUUGACAGAUUGAUAGCUCUUUCUUGAUUCGGUGGGUGGUGGUGCAUGGCCGUUCUUAGUUGGUGGAGCGAUUUGUCUGGUUAAUUCCGAUAACGAACGAGACUCUAACCUGCUAACUAGUACACUUGUGUUUAAUCGCGAGUGCUGACUUCUUAGAGGAAUAUGUAGCUUUUAGCUAAAUGAAAUUGAGCAAUAACAGGUCUGUGAUGCCCUUAAAUGUCCGGGGCCGCACGCGCGCUACAAUGGCAGUAUCAGCAAGUCCUAUCCUAGCUAGAAAUGGCCGGGCAAUCUUGUGAAACACUGUCGUGUCAGGAAUAGUGGAUUGAAAUUUUCCCACUUGAACGAGGAAUUCCUAGUAAGCGCAAGUCAUUAGCUUGCGCUGAUUACGUCCCUGCCCUUUGUACACACCGCCCGUCGCUACU
rnacentral:rRNA from 2 species